rnacentral:rRNA from 1 species
UUUUGAUAAGGUUUGAUGGAUAGAUUGCAACCGCAGGUAAAAAGUCUUCGGAUUAUUAAGUUAUUUUAUUUAGGAAAAAAAGCGCGCUAGGAAAUGAGCGCGCCUUGAUGGAACAAAUUGAAUAAGUGACAGCUAACUAUGUGCCAGCAGCUGCGGUAAAACAUAGGUCACGAGCAUUAUCCGGAUUUAUUGGGCGUAAAGGAAGCGUAGGUGGGGAGGUUGAUCCAUUGUUAAAGGCAUUUGCUUAACAAAUGUGUGCGAUGGAGAUCGCCUCCCUAGAGUUAAUCAGGGGGUACUGGAAUUCAAUGUGUAGCGGUGGAAUGCGUAGAUAUAUUGAGGAACACCAGAGGCUAAGGCGAGUGCCUAGGAUAUAACUGACACUGAGGCUUGAAAGCGUGGGGAGCAAAUGGGAUUAGAUACCCCAGUAGUCCACGCCGUAAACGAUGGGCAUUAGGUAUUUGACAUCUAGUCGAGUGCUGUAGCUAACGCGUUAAAUGCCCCGCCUGGGUAGUAUAUAUGCAAAUAUGAAACUCAAAGAAAUUGACGGGGACCUGAACAAGUGGUGGAGCAUGUUGCUUAAUCUGAUAAUACACGAAAAACCUCCCAACU